UUUACCUCCUGCACGUUGACUAAACCAUGGCUGAGGAUGCCUCCCUUUUGGCAGAUCAUUCUAGGAAGGUGGGAACCAAAUCUGCAGCAAACUCAUUCAUCUGUGUCAUCGUCUCCAUUGAAGCAUCAUUCCUUUCCUUGGUUAAUUACUGCCCACCUUUUUUUCUUCCUUCAUCUUAAUUACAAUUCAGUCUGCUUUAUUCUGUUUUUUGGGUGACUACCCAAGUCCCUUAUGGUAGGUAGGUCAAGAAGCAGAGAGAGAGAGUUCUCCCCCCACCCCCAGGCAGACUAAAGACUGAGGAUCUGGUGCAGGAUGUCCCUUCUUCAAUGCCUUGACUGGGGUCAACACAUAUCAAGGUUAGGGCAGUGGACUUGGCCCUCCUGCCCAGGCUCACAGGUCUGCUCCCUCCCCCAGCCCCUGAGGCCUGUGACUACAGCUUCUCGGUGCUCAUGGGGACUCAGGGAAAACAGGAUCUGCAGACCAGGAAGCGGGUCCUCACCCGACCCCAGGUCCCCAGCACCUUGACCUUGGACUCCAGCCUCCAACCUUGAGGAACAGAUGUCUGGUUUCAUGCUCAUCUGCAGUACUUCAGCAGCCAAAGGGACUCAGAAGUUGAGCAUCUACUCUGCCAGGUGGAGAGUGGCAUGGAGCUUCACAGAUACAAAUGAAGUGCAAAACCCUGUCUUAGAAAACCUUUGACCCUGGUGGGAACAAUACCAGCCACUACCAGCACACUUAACAUUUCACGUGAUUCUGUUGGACAGCGUGAGUCCAGAGCCGAGUCAGUUCCUGCUUUGGAAGCAGAGAGUCCUCCGUGUGGGGUGUCCUGCCCGCGAGACCUUGGGCAGCAUCUCCAGCGUCGUCCACCAGAUGGCAGUAGCUCCCCUCUCUCCAACACGACUUUGCCAGAGUCCCCAAGGGCUUGGAGUAACCCCAUCUGUCCAUAUGCUGCAGCAGCUUCCAGCCGGUCGUCACACUGGGGUCUGAAAGGCGGAGCAGCCACCAGACUGUCAGCCCAGGAGCUCCACUGGGUGAAGGUGAGGAGGGCUGAGGCUGCCUCCUCACGUCUCCUUGCCUAUGAUGAGCUGACUCUCCCUGCAUCUUAUCCUCCUGGACCCAGCACCUCCUUUGGAGUCCCACGCCCACUGCUCCAACUCAAGUCCACGUUCUAGAACACCAUAUGAUUGUCCAGUAGGAAGUUUCAGCUGCAGCUGCUUCCUGCUUUGAAUCGCAGCCUCACAGAGUUUAUUUAAGUAAGAUUUUUCUCAACCUGUGAAGCACAAUUCCGAAGGCACAGAGGAGAAGCAAUGUCUGCACCUCAUCUGUACAAUGUGGUCGAGUGCCAAGUGCCACAGAAUGUCCCGCAGAGGCCACGGGGGAGUGACCCCUGGGGAAACGGUGCUCCAAGCUUGAUGUACUGUAACGUCGUAGGAAAGAGAAAGAAGUGCCAGAAAUGAGGUCUUGUCACGGAUGGAGCUAGUGUAACCCUGGGAGACAGGAGGCUGCGGAAGAGCCUCCUGGGGAGGGGUCGGAGGUACUGAGACGGCUGAAGAAUAGAAGGAAGAAGAUACAGACGCAGAAAUGCCCUCUGGCCGAGUCAGCAAGGAGGGCACCGCCAGGAGCACGAGUUAUACACACGUUAUUUUCCCAUCAUCUCCACAUCAUUCCCUGGCCCCCGAGUCACUUAACCGCUUUGCACUGUGCGUGCUCAGCAACCUGAGUGACUUCAGGUUUGCUUCCUGUGUCCAGGACAGCGUUUCCCACCUGCUUCUCCUACUUCUGAUGGCGUCUGUAGGAGCUUUUCACCUCCUGGCUUCUUCCUCCUCCGUCUGCUCCUGAUCCUCUGUCCUUGUCCUGCAGUCUCUCCUUGGAGCCCUUACAGCUCUUCCUUCUGCUUUUUUCCUGGGAGAGCUUGUCUUGACUCUAAGUUUGUUUAGUGAUGUUAUUUCUUUGAGUGAUUUCUUAUUUCUUUGUCUUUUUGCAUUUUUGAAAAAAAAUUAAAGAUACAGGAAAAGUAUAAAGAAUUUUUACAAAACACAUUGUUUCCAUAACGCAAAUUUAACUAUAUAUUUUGUCAUACUUGUUUCUAAUCCUUUUAAAAGAAAAAAUACAUAAUAGAUAUAGCUUAGGAAUCCUUUACGAACAACACAGAGGCCUGUCCUCACUCACCCAGUGGUAAACAGUUUGGUGGUUUGUAUUUUUAUAUUCCUUUUUUAAAAAUUUACAUAUGUACAUGUGUCCAUUAUACAAACUUAUUUUUGAAAGUGUUACUUUACAUUAAGUGGCACCAUGCUGUAUUAAUUAUUCUGCCCCUUUCUCUUUUCACACUAUGUUCGUGAUCACAAAAUCCUAUAUUACCUAUAUUUCAUCCUACUAGUUUUUGGUUGGUCACAUUUAGGCUUUAAUUUGUCGUAUUCAUAAAGCAGGAUUCUUGUUUAACAGGUUUUCCUGAUAAAGAGACCCAGUCUCCCCACAUUAUAUAUUGAAUGUCCGUGUUUCCUACUGACCUGUGACGUCACCACCAUCAGAUUACCAAAUUCCCAAAUACACACAAGACUGCUUCUGAGCUCUUCUUUUCCCUUGGUCUAUUUUUCUACUGCUGUACUGUUGUCACAAUCUUUAUGACUGUACCUUUGAUAUAUUCACUUUCUUGUAAAUUCUCCCAAUUUGGCUUUUUCUCAAAAAAAGAGUUUUUGGUAUUUUUGCUUCUCAAAUUUUUUUAACCUUAUAUUAUAGAAAAUUUUAAACAUACAAAAAUAGACCCAAUAGGAUAGCCCAAUUCCAGCUGCAGUGAUAAUCAAUUCAUGCCCGAUCUGUUUUCAUCUACGCCUCCCCCUUGGUCCCCCCACCCCUGCCCCAUAUUCUUUUGAAGCCAAUUACAGGUAGUGUAUCAUUCCAGGCAUUUCUUUUUUUUUUUUUAAAUUUUAUUUAUUUAUUUAUUUUUGGAUGCAUUGGGUCUUUGUUGUGGUGUGCGGGCUUCUCAUUGUGGUGCCUUCUCUUGUUGCAGAGCAUGGACUCUAGGCGUGCAGGCUUCAGUAGUUGUGGCAUGCAGGCUCAGUAGCUGUGGCUCUCGGGCUCAGUAGUUGUGGCUCGCGGGCUUAGUUGCUCCACGGCAUGUGGGAUCUUCCCGGACCAGGGCUCGAACCCAAGUCCCCUGCAUUGGCAGGCGGAUCCUUAACCACUGCACCACCAGGGAAGCCCCCAGGGAAGCCCCCAAGCAUUUCUUAAGCUAUUUCUUUACACAUAUUCUCUAAAAUCAGUUUUUUAAGUUCCCCAUAUAUUUUGAUGGAGUUUUGAUUGAAUUUUCAUUGAAUUUAAAGAUUUUGGAGAAUUCACUUACAAAAUUGAAUCUUUCUAUCCACGAAAUUGGGUAAAAUUUCUAACCGUGAAAUUUUUCCCCAUUUAUUAAAUUCUUCCUUUAUAUUUUUUAAUAACACGCUUGUUGUUUUCUCUGUGAAGAUCUUGCACGUUUGUUAGAUUUUGCCGCAACUAUGAAUGCCAUAGAUUUUGCUGUGGCUAUGAAUGAUGCAGUUUAAAUUAUAAUUCCCACUUGGUUAUUGCUACUGUAAAGAAAUGAUAUGAAUUUUGUGCAUUGCUCUUGUCCUCUGCAAAUCUUGCUAAACUUUUUUUUUUUUAUUUUAUUUUUUAAUAAAUUUAUUUAUUUUUGGCUGCGUUGGGUCUUCGUUGCUGCACACGAGCUUUCUCUAGUUGCGGCGAGCGGGGGCUACUCUUUGUUGCGGUGCGUGGGCUUCUCAUUGCGGUGGCUUCUCUUGUUGCGGAGCACAGGCUCUAGGCAUGCGGGCUUCAGUAGUUGUGGCACACGGGCUCAGUAGUUGUGGCUCACGGGCUCUAGAGUGCAGGCUCAGUAGCUGUGGUGCACAGGCUUAGUUGCUCCGUGGCUCGUGGGAUCUUCCUGGACCAGGGCUCGAAGCCGUGUCCCCUGCAUUGGCAGGCAGAUUCUUAACCACUACACCACUAGGGAAGCCCUAAACUUUUAUUAACCUGAGUAGUUUAUUCAUAGAUUCUCUUGGAUUUUAUAGAUAGACAAUCGUAUCAUCUGCAAGAAAAUGAUAGCUUUGCUUUCUCUCAUCCCUUAUAACUCAUGGUUUUAAUUUUUUAUUUUACUGCAAAGGCUUGUUCUCCAGUGCACUGUUGAGAAGAGUAGUGAUAACUGGCUGUCGCGCUUGUCCCUCACGUUCAUGACUCUUGUACGUUCCCCAUCUGCCUAACAUCUUCUCCCUACCCAGCUGGGCAGCAUGUCUCCACCUGGCCCUGAGCUGACUCUGGGCAGUCAGCAUUCAUCUUUGAGGGAAGUGGGUCUGCUGAGCCAGGCUGGUCCUGAAGGCCCGUGGGGGCAGGGACAGGGCUGAGCUGCAGAGAGACCACGACACCACCUGGGUUUGCUGUCGUCCCCUGCAGGAUCCCCUAAUUCACACAGGGUGACGGUGGCCACACCCUCCCCGCCCACCUCCCCUUGGCCGACUCUUAGCUAAAAGGCUGGGUCAUAGGCCAAAGAACUAGCACGCAGACUGGCCUUCAGUUUUACCUCCCGCCAUGUGAGAGGGGUCUCAGCUCCCCCUUCUCAGGCCCAUCAGCCCAGGGAAGCCCUACCUACCUCUGGGACAGAGCCAGGGUCCACGACCAGUUCAAACAGGGGUAGGCAUCGCCAGCCGAGCGGUGCAUGGAUUUGCCCAGGCCCUCAUCCCUGAUGCAUGACGGGUCCCCGAGACGCCACCGCUUUCUCUCCCCUGCCCUGCUCCUUGCCUUCGGUGUGUGGCAGGGACAGGACGCUCAGAUGGGGUGAGGGGCAGGCGACCCUGGGGUGCGGGAGACCCUGGGCGUUCAUGCUUCCUUAGCUCCUUCCCCUCCUGCCCCUGAUUCCCAGAGUUGUAAAACUCUGGGUUGUAAAACGUGGGUUCCAUUUCCCAGCUUCCUGUACAGUGAUGUUGAGAGGGCCCAGGAGUCCGCUUUUCCAUAUUCUCACCUCAAGACAUUUGAACAGUUAAUACUUUAGCAGCAGAAGAUAAGCCACCACAUAAGCAGUAAGUUUCUUGGUUAGAAAACAAGCCAUCAGAGAAAAAAUAUUUUUUGCGGAGAAGGAGAAAUAGUGGGUGGGCUGAGUUUUUAUCUUUUGUAUGGUAGAUAAGAUAUGUCUGCACAGCGGCAGCUAACAUUUUCAAAUAGGAAGGCAUAUGAUUAAAUCUCUUUUGAUGUUAUCUGCAAAUUGUUUCUCUGAGCUCCGCUUCCAAAGGGUAGCUCUCCAGUUAGAGUCAGAGAUGAUUAUUGUGAAGUUAGCCCUCACUGUCUACUGCUUAGACAGGUGACUUCCUCUUUAAAGCGCUAAUUAGCCCUACAUGCAGUAUCUUGUAUCGUAUGGGACCUUCAGCAUUUUGUUCUUUUCUAAUUAGAAUCAUCUCUCCUCAUGCUUCUCCAAUAAAAUGGAGAAACUGUUGGGAGUUCUUUGCUGCUCCCUCCCAAGGCCCCUGUGAUCUGCCACGAGGCGUGGACAGUCUUGCCGCUGCGGCUCCCCUGCCCCCGGGCAGUUCAUUCCAUCCCCAGGGCUGAUGAUUUAGUAAGUUCAUUUCCACUCAGCAAAUUUACUAACACCUCUCUUGAAGUAAUAGAUUGUUCACUCUUGACGACUUGUUAUUAUUAUUGAAAUGGACCUUAAAUUAGGGUCAGGGAUCCCUAAACCUCUAAUGGUCACUAGUGAGCAAAACGAAGGUUAAGGAGUGAGGACAUGUUAGGUACGAUGUCCUCACACCUUCGUUUUGCUCACUAGUGACCCUUAGAGAUCAGUUUAGAGACUCUUGAUGUUAGGUCCUUUUUUUGAAGGGUUAAUUAAAUGACAUUAUAUAAACCACCUUGACGUGCUUUAAAAAACAUUUCCAUCCCUCUUUUCCGAGUGAACUCCAGUUCCUGGCCGAUCCACGGGUGACGGCUGUGCUGUGGCUUUGGCGUGGGGACUUCUGACAGCUGUGCUGACGAGGACAGUGUGUGGCUCUCGGGGACGCUCACAGUGCACCGGGCUCUGCCCAAGUCCGAAGAAGACUGAUCACCGUGCACUCAGCCAUCACUACACUGCUGGGGGGGAGGGGAGGGUGGGGCAGGUACCACUAUCGUGUUUUGCAAAAGAGAAAACGAGGAGGCACAGGGAUUUAAGGGUCUGCCGCGGGCGGGCGAGCUGGGGCUGAGCCUGUCGGUCUGGCCCCUUCACCACCGUCUCAUGAACAGUUUCCACUGAUGAAAACAGAGGCACUGUUGGGUAGAUCCUGCAUCCUGAUAACCCGUCAGCUUCAGUCAUCUAACCCGUGUCACCAGCUGUUCACCGUCCUCUGUAAACCUCCUCCCAUCUCAUUUUCAUUCAGUGGGAGGCUCGUUCCUUCAGCAAACAUUCCCAGAGCACCAUCUAAGUGCAGGUUCUUAGAACUGUGUCACAGCUCCAAUGGGGAACAGAACAGAACUGCAGUCCCCCACGGAGAUUACAGUCCGACUGGGAGAGGCACACCUGAAGUCACUUGGUAAUAAAUUAAAGGUUGUAACUGCGACAGUGGCUCAGAGGGACAGAGGGGCUGGACUGAGAGUUCCGAGGGUCGAGGGGCACAAGCAGGAAAUGCCUGCGCGAGCUGAGUAGAUGGUGGACAGGCAGUGGGGAUGCAGGGGUCCUCUUGGUGGGAGCCUUGAGCACCACUGGGGUGGAAUUCACAGAUGGCGCAAGUCGGGACAGUCCUGCUUCCAGUGGGAGGCAUUGGUGGCUCAGUGGCAACGCUUGUGCCUUUGUCCCCAUACUGGACGAAGACACAGGAUCAUCUGCCUGUUCAGGACCAUUGUUCUGUGAAGACCAGUAACCCAUCUGUGGGCAGCAGGGUAAGGCCCCAAAGAUGUCCAAGUCUUAAUCCCCAGAAACAAUGACUACCUUAGGCUAAGCGGUAAACGUUGCUUAUCAGCUGACCGUGAGGUGGGCGGUCAGCCGGGAUCACCCAGGUGGGCCCAGUGUCAUCAGGGUCCUUAUGAGUGAGUGGAGGAUCCAGGGAGAGGGGGGCGGGAAAGUCUUGGUGGUCAGGGCUGGAUUUGAAGGGGGAGGGUCCCGGGAGCCGAGGAAGGUGGGCAACCUCCAGAAGCAAGAAAAGGCAAGAAAUGGGUUUUCUGUGGGACACGGCUCUGCCAACACCUUGAUUUUAGCUCAGAGAGACCCCUUUCCGUUUCUGAGCUCCAGACCACAAAGUGAUAAAUUUGCGUGUUUUAAACCAUGAAGUUUGUGGUAGUUUGUUCUAGCAGCAGCAGGAAACUAAUACUAAUACUAUGAUGUUUCUUCCUGAAUAUCUUGUUUACCACACUGACUUGAGUGUGAAACAAUAGGUUUGACUGUGAAAAUGCAGCUAAGAUUGACCUAACCUUCGGCCAGUCCGGCCCAAGCACGUUUAUGAAUAAUGCCCAAUUGGUGUUUACACCCUCCAGUUUAAAAAAGUGAUUAUAAUAGAAAUAUUUAAAAAUGUAUUUUUGCUUUUCUCUUGGGUUUUGGAUAAAGAUAUGUAGGUUUUAGCAUCUCUUAUUUCAUGUUUCUCCUUUUUAUUCAAGAUGAAAUAUUCCCAGAAAUGUCAAAAUGACACAGACAUGUUCAGCGUUUGCUGUUUCCAGGUCAUGGGGUGGGCAGAACUCCUGGUGCCUGUGUUAGUAUAAAAACUGGAGACCCAGGACCAGCACUGGGGUCUGUACUGGUUUGGAUGUUGUCAGAUUAUAUGAUCUAAGAAUGACAGUUUAUAAUCACUUCUUUACUAUGGCUUAUUGUUUUUUCCCCCUCCAAUUUUUUUUAAUGAAGUUGUGCUUAUACAAAUUACUAGUUUUAUAAAAGCACAAAAGGGCUUUCACCUAGUUUCUGAAGAAUAAUAAGAUCAGUGUUGUAGGGGAAUAAACUGUGGCUACUUAAGAAAGGCCGAGGACCACCCUUGUACUCAGAAUUUUUGUGUAUUGGGAAAGGGCAUAAUGACGAAAAGGUACUAUUCAGUAACAUUUCAGAAAUGUGUGUUUUAUUAUCACAAAUACAUCUAGGUACAUGCGUAGACAAGGGGCACACGUGAAAGACAUUUGAUUUUUGGAUCACGCUGAGUAGAGUGUCCUUACGACACAUGCCUCCAAAAUGUGGUUCACGGCUGAGCCUGGUGUGCAAGCUCUCAGCUUCGAGCGCCCUUCAGAACGAGAACUUUAUUUAUUUAUGUAUUUUUUUUUAAGUAUAGUUGAUUUAUAAUACCGUGUUAGUUUCAGUUGUACAGCACAGUGAUUCAGUUACAUGUAUAUAACUGAAUAUAUAUUCCUUUUAGAUUCUUUUCUGUCGUGGUCCAAAUGCAGGUUGGAAAAGAAUUUCCAGACACAAGGCAGAAUGCAGAGGAUGGAAUUUAUUAGCGGGAAUGGUUGCUGCCAGAACAGCGGGCCGACUUCCUAGUAGUCUGGGAUAGCCAACCCUGAACAUGUGCUAUUAGUCGGUUUUUAUAGCCAGAGAACAAAAGAAUGGUCCGAGGUGAAAAUUUCUUUUCUCAAUUGGUCGAGGCACAUAUAUACACCUUCCUUCUAUAGGGUGGGAGUGGGACAAGGCAGAUGCCUUUCCUUAUUUGGGACGAAAGAGGAACAGUCCUGUUGACCAGGUGGGCUCAGGAAUUUCGUUCCCAUCGCAACAUGGCGCGGAGGGCGAGAGAGUCUGGUGGGGUCCGUAACACAGCUUUUUCAGGCUGGGCUGUCCUUUGUCCUUGAAGCACCAUUGUCCUUGGAGCACCAUAUUUUCCCUUAUAGGUUAUUACAGAAUAUUGAGUAGUUCCCUGUGCUACACAGUAGGUCCUUGUUGGUUAUCUAUUUUAUAUGUAGUAGUGUGUAUCUGUUAAUCCCAACCACAAGAGCUGUAUUUAAAGCCACCCUGCGCCCUCCCGAGCAUUCCAGCCUGAACUCCACCCCAGCCCCUACCCACGCCCUCGGCCAUUGUGCUGCUAAAUACAAUCGCUUACUGUGUUUUAAAUAGAGCGGAUGCCUCACUGUCAUUUAUUGUAGUCACGUACGUGGGCCUUUGCUUUCAGUAAUAUUUAAAGCUGUGCCUAAUUAGAUUUAACACCAUUUGCUUGAAGACUUGUUAAGAAUCCUUUGCAAGGUGGGUUUAGCGCUCCAAACUCAUGUGAAGUCUGGAUUUUUACGUAUCCGCAUAUUUUAAAGGAUGGAAUGCCUACCUCACACUUUUAGGUUUUAUCCCCCUCUUCCCACUGGAGAUUGGAAGGAAGACUAGCAGGAAAGAGUCUACGGUAAAAGAACUGUUGCCCCAGCUUUGUGCUCUCUGCGGGCGUGUCUUAACCUCAUCUCAGGGCCGAGGGGGAUUGUUCAAAGCCCAAAAGCUGCCUCUGGAGUCCGGUGAACCGACCUAUGAAGCUGCUGCUGACAGCCCUCAGGGUGGUCUUUUUUCUUUUUAAAAAAUCUGCUUUUGCUUUGUUUCCAUUGGAUUUGUUUUUCUUCCCUAGGAGACGUUGCAGCGAUGGCCCAUAGGAGAGGGUGAAUAAUUACCUGGGUGAACAGAGAGGCACACAGCAUGCUGGCGGGCGUGCGAGCAGGUGGCCCAGGAGGGGCUCUGUCCCUGACGGAAGGUCUGGCUGAUGCCGAGGGCUUGAGCGGCCAAGGGCCUCUGCUGAGAAGUCUGCUCCCUCAGAAGGGGGCCGACGGCCCAACCCAGAGCCCAGGAAGCCACGAGCCCCAGGGGCCACGGGUGGGCUGGCUGCAGGUGGGAGCUGCCCGCAGGGAGAGCAUUCGCCCAGCUUCCUCCUCUCCCACCCGGUCCCCCCCCACCCCAUCAUCAACUUCCUUUAUCUUACAGCUCCGGAGGUCAGGGUCCUACUAGGUGUUGGCAGGGGAGGGUUCCUUCUGGCGCCCAGAGGAGAAUCCACGUCUUUGUUUUUUCUAGCUCUAGAGGCUGUCUGCGCGCCCAACAGGCAGGACCCACAGCAGGCAGCCAGUAGGGGGAGCAGGGUGGGGCCCCAGGGCUGUGCAGGGCCGGACCUGCGGCCGGAAGGAGGACGCAAAUCUACAGCCUUCCAGAGUCGCCAGGCCCGGAGCUGAGUCACGCCUGAGCUCAGGGCGUGGCCUGCCAGUCUCCAGGGUCCAGGCUAGCAGGUAAGCAGCCUGGAUGGUGCCACCCCUGUGGUUUUACAAGUAAAAAGCGAACAAAUUGAAAAUCAACAGUGCUUCUUAUACACCUCAGAGAACUGAGAUCACAGGGCAAACCCAAGGUCUCACCCGAGGUGGGGAGAAAACAGAACUGAGAGGCUCUUGUGAAGGUCACGGUCCCAGUCGCUGGCACCCUCAAACCUGAGAUGUAAUCACACUCCCCCCGACGCCCACAUCCCCGCCCCCUGUCCUCCACACCUGCAUCGCUGCUCCCCAGGCCUCUGCCCACCAAACCCACGUGCCUGCCCCCAUGCACCCUCGUCCCUUGGACUGGGCUCCUAGGCACAGGGGAUUCCAGUGGAAAACACUGCACGCCUUGAUCUCAGGUGGCCUCGGCCUGAAGCAGCCUGAGGCAGGAUUUCGGCUCCCAGCCAGAGAUUGAAGUCGGGCCGCGGCAGUGAGGGCGCUGAAUCCUGGCCACUAGACCAGCGGCCAGCGACAAGGCCCUGGCCCUUCGGCUUUGUAGAAAUGAAUUUCCACAGAGACGGAAAGCAGUGAAACAAGUAAAGUAUUUAUUAGGAGGAAAAAGGGUACACGUGGAUAGACACAUGGAUGGACUCAGAGAGUGGCACCCUCGUGGUAGUUUGAAUCACUUAUAUUCGGCAGUUCUUCCGGGUUUCCUCUGGCCAAUCAUCUUGCUCUGUCUGGCUCUGAGUCUAUUUGGUUUGUCUCAAGGUCCUGCCCUGUGUGUGCGUGCAUCUCUUAGCCAAGAUGGAUUCUAGCACAGAGGCCUAUGGGUAGGUUGACAUCACCUACUAUGGGGUGGCACCCCCUCCUGUUGACCCCCAGGAGCCUUUCUGCACGUGUGUAAUCGGGAAGGAAUAUGAGGUCUCGUUAUCUCUUAUCUGGGCUGGGCUCAGGUCUUCCUCCCUCCAGCUGCUGUCUUCGUCUUGGAGUAUCUGUUCAGGGGGACAGACUCCAGCUGCUCAGCCUGGGGCCAUCUAACUCCUGCCUCACCAGCUCGCCCCACACCCACGUCCUAUCGACAGGACUCCGACGAACAGGGGAUUCCAGCGGAAAACACCGCACGUCUGAGACCUUGUUUAAGGGGAACUGCCUCUCCUAUGCCUCACUUCUAAACGCUGCCUACACAUCAGACCCAUGGGUCACAGAGACGAGAGAGCCCAGCUGUGCACGAAACCUCACCAAGUCCCAACCAAGUAGCUACACUGGGGACCCUCCACUGCCCUCCACAGCUCUGGACACAUGUAAGUUCCCUCCUCGGUUUGGUUGUGCCUCAAGGUUUCCCCACUGUAUCUCUAAAAUAUGCACCUGGGAUUGGGCUCCCUGCCUAAGCAUGGUCCUAGCUUUGGCAUUUGCUUUUCUUUACUUCUGCCCACUCAGACAUAGUAGAGAAGUUCUUCUCGGAAGAAUGACUUCAGCAGAGAAGUUGCAGGCGGUUUUGUGCCAUUCCUUAGGUCCUCCUCAAACGUUAGGCUUUCAGUGAUGCUACACCCACCCGUGGCUCACGUCACUUACAUUGCUCUGGGUUUCACGUUGCAGUAAAAGCAAAGAGCAUUUGUAGAAAGACUGAGCAAAAUUGUUGGUAUUUUUGCUGUUCUUUGCUUCCCCUGUUCGUGGAGGUGGAUUGAGACACCUGGAAUGAGGCUCUGUGGGCCAGCAGAUAGAAAAAAGGUGAGCCGUCACAGGGCCAGGAAGUGGCUCCUCUGUUUAGACAUCUCUAUGAGUGUGGGUCCUGGUGUGCACAGAAACAAAUUCUGGCCCUCGUACACACCUACUCUCCUGGCUGUGGCUGCCUUUAUCAACUCGGUCCCGCAGAUGCAGACUCCCUAACGGCGCGAAUUCAUCCUCUUUCUGUCCUGCCAUCCUCAGCAUUUCAGAUGAAGCUGAGGUUUUCAUGCGAACAGAGAAGCUAAAUUUCUGUGUUCUGGUUAUAUAGUUCCACGUGUGCAUUAGACACUAUUUUCCAACAGAUGAGAAUCAUUUCUGUUGACAUUUUCAACCAUUCAAUUCCACUUGCUUUUCUAAAUUAGAUUUGCUUUAACUUCAUUUUCUCCCAGACAUUAUUGGAAGAAUGAUUAUGGAGCCCAUUAACCAUUUCAUCAUUUUAUUGCUGAUAGCCAAACCAGAAUUAAUUUUCCAAAAUUAUGUAGCACAUUACCAUAAUGAUUUACUAAAAUCCAGGUGUAUUUAAAAUACUGCCUUUCUAUUGUUUCUAUUUCUUUUCUUUUUCUUUUUUAAAAUUUUUUAUUUCAUUUUAUUUAUUUAUUUAUUUAUUUUGCCUGCGUUGGGUCUUUGUUCCUGCAUGUGGACUUUCUCCAGUUGCGGCCAGCAGGGGCUACUCUUUGUUGCUGUGCGUGGGCCUCUCAUCGUGGCGGCCUCUCUUGCUGCGGCUCUAGGUACGUGGGCUUCAAUAGUUAUGGCACACGGGCUCAGUAGUUGUGGCGCACGGGCCCAGCUGCUCCGUGGCAUGUGGGAUCUUCCCGGACCAGGGCUGGAACCCGUGUCCCCUGCAUUGGCAGGCGGACUCUUAACCACUGCGCCACCAGGGAAGCCCCUGUUUAUUUUCAAUUCUAUCAAAAAGCAGUAAACUUCUGCUGACAAAAUUGCUUGGAAAAACCCAGUUGUUCAUCAGGCAAUGUUGCUGUUUUCCAUUUAUUAGGUUUUUACUGCAGCCCUGGUGAUGGGGCAUCUGUGGCACAUUGCCUUCAUUUGUACGACUAGUGACCCUAAGCAGAAACUCGGAAAAUUCUCAUGGCUGGACGUGAGAGGAUCUUCUCAUGCCUCUCCUUUCGAAGAAGGGUCCCCUUAAUAGACUUUGCUCAUCUCACCCAGAGGCUGCACCUCUGUGCUUCCUCCCAGGAGGGUAUGGUCAGUCGUCCCCCAUUCAGCAGAGGGACAGAGUCAUGAUGGGCAGGAGACCAGGGUGACCUAAGGUGACUGGAAGUCUGGGCCAGUCAGAGAGCAGCCCAGCAAUGCUGUUGAUAAAAGGCUACAGACACCUUAGCGACCACGCCCAGCCCAUGGUGGUCUCGCAUUUGGUGGACGUGGGGAGAGGGAUCUGGGACUCCCAGGCUCAGAGGACAGCAGACACGGAGACCAUCUGCUGUGUUAGGGGAAGAAAACCAUGUUUGGCAUGGGAGGCUCAGCCCCAGCUCUGCCGUUCCUCCCCCAGCUGAGUCUUGAAGGUGUGGCCUUAUCUACAAGGACAGAUUAGGCUCCACGCAGAGUUCUCUCUUGGUUCUAACAAUCUAUCGAAGUUUAUGCCAUUGCUUGGAUCUCACAGAAAGCGAUAUAGAACCAAGAGAAGCACACGCCAGCUUGGAAAUAACCAUGCAGAGGACAAGCCAACUUCAAUACCACAUCUGAGGUGACUCUGAAGGGGACUUGUUCCCAGUGUUCCAGCUGUGGUCAUGUUGUGUAGAUCAAACGAUGUUGGCUGGAUGGGCAGCCAGCCUCUCCUUCCCCUCUCCACCGAGAACUCUACUUUCAGGGCUCUGUAAAGUGUCAGACCCUAGUCCCUGCCUUCAGAGAGCUCAUGGUCUUCAUGCAAAGCUGAGAUGUUUCUGUGAGUCGAGGGCAGGGCGAGCUGGGAUAUAAUUAACUGAAAGAAGUUACAGGAAACUGUGGUUGGCUAGUGACUGGUAAAGAUUCAAGCACUGGAGGGCUGGGGGAAAGAGGAUCACCUAAAACAGGCAUCUCAGGGGGGCGCCCCCCGGGAGGUGGACAUGCAGUGAUGGCGUCAGACAAGCCAAGUCACAUCCUGGAUCCGCGUCUGCCUACUUGUGGCGUCCCAGCAAGGUUACUGAGCUUUCUCGAAGCCUCGGGGCCUCAUCUUCAAGACACAGUAAUAACAGGAUUGACCUUUUAGGGUUAUUUGGAGCAUAAGGCAAGCAGAGUGCUUGAGCACAGCCUGGUGUGCAGUGAACAGUAAGUAAAAUUUAGCCAUUUACACCAUCACUGUCAUUAUCAAAGCUGUCAUUGUUAUCAGCGUAUAAAGAGAGGGUUGGUCUGAGCCUUGAGGAGUGGGGUCAUGUGGGCAGGCUGAGAAUAACUCGGGACUUCAUGGAGAUGCUCCCUUGAAGUCGUGGAUGGAAUUUCAAGACACCAGAAGUGGGAGAGACUUAGAGAUUUACCGUUUUUGUCUCUAGAUUGAAGUGCCUGCUUUCUGAGAUUUACGUUAUCGGAAAGGGAGCAUGGCUCUAAGAGAUGUUACCGAAAACAUCUGCCCUGUUAGAGGCCAUAUUAAGUUAUGAAACUAUGUUUUUCCCCCUCACCUGCCAAAGUGAAUUUUAGUAUCUUCUUAUGACUGCUCAGGCUAAAGUGAUCUCCCUGCACCUGUGACCCCCAUCAAAGUUCACGUGUGCGAAUGACCUGGCCCUUCCUUGGGGUCUUUUGAAUUAUCGUUCAAAUGUUUGAUUGCUAACACUUCUUACAUGUAUUUCCUGCCUCAAUCACAGAGCACAAGCUCCUAGCGGACAGGGAAGGUUUCUACAUUUCUGCAGUUCCCACAACUCUUAAUAUGAUUCUGGGUGUGGGGUAAGCCCUCAACAUAUUUGCUGGUUGUUUGAUUUUUUUAAUUCAAUAUGUUGCAUAAAAUUUGGCCAGGAAUAUGUCAGAUAGAAAUGUUCCUCCCAAAGAAAAAAUAUGUAUUGGCUUAGCGAGGUUUAACAUACUUGCAGUGAAAUGCUCAAUGAUAUUUAACACAGGCAUAGUCUCAUCCCAAACUACACCAGACACUCUCAUCACCCCAGAAGGCUGCCCUGUCCCUACCCUGGCCCCGCAAAGCCACCACGGGCGUGGUUCUAUCACAUUUCACACGAAUGGAGUCACACGGCAUAUACUUCCGUGUCUGCGUUCCUUCACUAAGAUACUAUUCUUGACAAGCGUCCACGUUGUCGUACGUAUCAGCGGCUCAUUCUCUUUCCACGGCUUGAAUAUUCCAGUCUGUUAGUCCACUUCCUUGCAAACAGAUAUCUAGGUUGUUCCAAGGAAUAAACUGCUACGAACAUUAUUGUACACGCUCCUCGAGGCCCUGUUUUCAUUUAUCUUUGAUAAAUACCUAGGGUGGAAUGUGCUGGGGCAUCUGUAUUAAUGUAAACAUGUCCAUGAGUGGAGUUAGAGACAGCCUUGAUACCGAGCAGGGCCCAGUGGGGUUCCUGGGCACAAAAUCCUUCCUGUGUCCCCAUUUCUUUGAUUAUAGGAAACAGGCUUCAGUCAGCCUCCAUGACCUUCCAUGAGUUCCAUGGGGCAGAUUCAAGCAGUUGUUAAUUAGGGAAGGGAGGGGGACUCAAGAGAAACAAUAGAGCAGCCUUGGGGCAGGGUCCUGGUUCCCCAUCAAGGGGUACACAGAACAGCGUCUUUGAGCUGUUUUGCAGGUACUGAGACCCCCACCAGGUGGGAGAAGUUAACGGUUAAUGGCAUGCUGCCCACAGAGGCCGGAUUCGGCUUCAGCUCUGCGCCAGGUGAACAGAGAGGGUUUGGAGCUGGGUGAGGAGUUGUGGGCUUGCAAACUGGCUGCUCUUAGGAUGAAGCCUGAUGACGACAUGUCUUGUCAGGCAAGUACAGAGUUUCAAAAGUGGAGGGAUGAGGUGCCUGCAGGUGGCUGUGCAGUCAGCCUUCCCUUCCCUCCGUCCCACGCUUACCACGAGCUCCUGGCCACCUCUUAGUUCAGGAUCCUAAGAUUCUAUUCCGAUUCCUAUUUGAAAGAUAAGGAGGCCCAAGACCGAGAGGAGAUCUGAAACAAGCCAGCAAACACAAGCUAUCUCCUCUUUUGCCCUGGCCAUAGAUGCCUGCUGGCCUGGAGGCAUCCGUCAGAGAGGUGCUUUUGCCCCAGGCCUCUCCAUAUUUUGUACGUCUUUAUAGCCAUCACCCCAUUUUCUCACUGUGUAUUUGCCAUCCUAUAUCUGCCUCGAACAGUGAGCUCCUGAAAAUCAGGGAUUUCAACUUCACAUCCUCACCGCCUGCCAUGGUACCCAGCAUGUGGUCUGUGUGGUCACCCUAAUGUACCUACUGCUCUACCAAGUCUGCACCAAGACAGGGUGGAGCAUGGAAAAAGAGACAAUUCUCUGAGCCUGGAUGGAGCAAAGCUGAGCUUGUCUCCAGAGGAUCAGGGACACACUCCCCAGCGGUGUAGCAGCGCAUGGGGGCCUUGCGCUGGCCGCACCCCAAGCCCCCGGUGAGGCAUGGAGGCACCAGCACGCCUGUGACCAGUGACUGCCCCAGCUCACCGCUACAGCGGACCCCAAUUUUGGGGAGGGGCUGCAACAAUGUGUUUAAGUGUCCCCAAAUCCUUGGAUCGAAUCACAAUUGGAUUAUUUUUAGGAAAAUAAAGAACUCGAAAUUCUCCAUCA